GUGAGAUAUUAACUGGUAAAGAGUGAUUCACACCUUCAUGCACAUAAAUCCCUUAUUUUAAAAUUGAGCAGUAUUUUGAGUAUAACUUACCCUAGCCUGACUCUAAACCAAGGAUUCCAUCUACAUGAAUGGAGUAAUGAAAUUAAUCUUGUUGAAAAACACAUUUCUGGAAGAAAUCUGUUCUAAAGAAUAAUUUAUUGGAUAUAAGUUAUCUUAGAAUUUCUCUUCCUUCUCCCUAUAACUCUUCCUCACUCAACCUAUUAUCCCACAAAAAAUUGGUGAAACUAAAUAAAUUCCAUUAAAUGCUUAGAUUUUACCUUCCUUGUUAGUCUCAUUCUACAGCAAUGCUCUUCCCAGGUAAAUGAGUCUUUUGAUAAGGAACUUAAUAGGUAUUUAACAGCCACCAUUUUAAUCUUAAUUUUCUAUGGAUUGAUUCUGUCAAUAAGUUAUUUUAAAAAUGGAGCACAAUUGCUUGUAAUUGUGUUAGUUUCUGCUGUACAACAAUGUGGUCAGUAACUCUUAAUGAUUAUUUAAUACAUUUUUGGUUUUGUUUGAUCACUUGAAAAAUCAAAGCUUGCCGUGGUUAUGGUCAUUGCUGCUAUGCAAUAUAUUCAAUUGUAUCUACUGUUCUUCAUCUCAUUUUCCCUCCUCAUCUUCCCUCCUUUCCACCCUCCUAGCACAGAGCAAACCGUGAAACUGUCUUCACUGCUCUGCCUCACAGAAGCUAUUCUCUGUUGGCCCUCACAAAGUCUUACCCUCUGCAUACGAAGUCGAGACCAUGGCCAAGGAAGACAUAGAAGACCCAUGUUGUUAUGCCCACCCAUCUCAAUAGCUCCCUCAAUAUUAAGAUCUCUCAAAUUUCACCGCCUCUUACAUGUCUGGAAACAGUUAACUGCCUCCGCAGAUUUACCUGUUCAAGACAUUUUAUAUAAAUGGAACCAUACAAUAUGCAGUUCUUGUGACUGGCUGCUUCUAUUUAGCAUAAUGUUGUCAAGGCUCAUCUGUGUCACAGCAUCUAUGGGUACUUCAUUACUUUCUAUUGCUAAUAUCCCAUUGUGUGGAUAGAUCACAUUAUUUAUCUAUUCAUCAGCUGAUGGUCAUUUGGGAUGUUUCUACUUUUUUACUAUUGUGAAUAAUGCUGCUAUCAACAUUCAUGUAAAAGUUUUGUGUAGACAUAUGUUUUCAUUUCUCUUGCAUAUCAAUCCAGGAGUCUCAUUGCUUGGUCAAAUAGUAAUGCUAUGUUUAACUUUUAAAGAAACUAUCAGGCUGCUUUCCAAAGAAGCUAAACCAUUUCACAUGCCCAGCACAGUAUGAGGGUUCCAGUUUCUCCACCUCCUGGCCAAUGCUUGUUAUUUUCUGCCUUUUUGAUCACAGCCAUUUUAGUAGGUAUGAAGUGGUAUCUCACUGUUGCUUUUAUUGCAUUUUUCAGAUAGCUAAUAAUGUUGAGCACAUCUUUUCCUGUGCUUAUUGGCUGUUUAUGGAUCUACUCUGGGUAACGGUCUAUUCAUAUUUUUAUUUUUAAUCAGCUUUUUAAAAAAUGACUGAGUUGUAAUAGUUAUUUACAUAUUCUCAAUAUCAGUUCCUUAUUAGAUAUAUGAUUUACAAUCUUCCAUUCUGUGUGUAGCUUUUUCACUUUUUUGAUGGUGUCUUUGAAGCUCAAAAGUUUUUAAUUUUAAUGAUAUCCAAUUUAUUUUUUGUUGUC
ensembl:lncRNA